ACGUGCGCUCGGGGUCGACGGGCCCCGGCGCCCAGGCGGGGCGGGGGCUGCGCGCAACUGGCACGAGCGGUGGGUGGGGGGCGGGCUCGGCCCUGGCGCGUGCCGAUUGGGCGCCUGUAGAUGCGGGGCCGCGACGGGCCCCCUAGCUCGGCGGGGCUCACCCCACCCCGGCAGGCCGCCCUGUACCAGCCCGAGAACAGGGGAAACUGAGGCUCACAGCAGAUGAGAAACCUGAGGCUCCGAAGAGCUGAAGUACCACCACCUGCCCGCGGUGGACAGACGAGGCAAGAGUUGAGGCCAGGCGCGUCUGCCCGGCAGCAGAGUUCAGUCAGUGCACCGCUCCUCUGCCCCAGAAGAUGGUCCAUCCAUCGGAUGCUCCCCUGGGGCCAGCUAGGCUGGAAAGGACAAAGUUUUCCCGUCCACUGCUGGAUCUACAGAACCACAUGUGGCACACAGUUGGUACUGAAUGAAUCCUACAGAACAGCGCCUGGCACCCCGCACCUCCUGAAUAAAUGCACGUGGGGUGAAUGAUCCAUCUGCAGAUCUCCCUGAUCUGCCCAUCACUGCCCUCAGAGCUCCUGCUGCCUGGGCCACACUGGGGAGUGCAGAGCGGAAGGAAACACGUUCUUCCCACAGAGCCACUUCCAGCAGCCUCUGUGGUCCCAGCCUCAGGUUGGCCAAGACCUUAUUAGUGGUAAGAACCUGGGAGAGGCAGAAUCUCCCCAGCCAGAGCUGGGGCUGGCAGCAGGACGGCAGGGAGACAGAGACCCAUUAGAGGAACAGAUCCUGGGGGGAAAUGGUGAAAGGCACACAGCUCGGCAUAGAAAUGAGUCACACUGUUCAGGUUCAAAUCCAGAGUUUCCUACUGGCUGGAUUUGGAAAGCAGCCUGGUCCCUCUAGGCCUCGCUUCAGUCCUCUGAAAAAUGGAGUUGGCAGCAAAGUCAACCUCACAGGGAUUGAGUACUUGAGGUGCUGGGCACAGAAGAAGCAGUGCCCACCUCAGUAAGGGGGUUGGGGGUGACCAGAUGUUCCCAUUUGGGUCUUGGGCAAGUUACUGCACCUCUCUGAGCCUCAGGCUCCUCGUCCUCACCUUGGGUUUCAUGAAACCCAUCUCUGAGGAUGCUGAGGUGGAGGGCUGGCCACAGCCGCUUUGCUCCAGCCAUCAUCUCGCCUGGAAUGCUUCAGUAAUAGUAAAUGGCAAUAAAAGUAGCGGCAGACACCUUUCCAGCACUUAGCACUUACUGGCAAUUGUUGUGAUCACUAUAGAUGGAUGAGCUCAUUUAACGCCCCCUCUGCUGAUGGGCAGCCGAGGCACCCUGAGAUGCAAGAGUGUGUCAAAAUACAGACUUUGUAGGUCUGGG